UGCCGGAUAGUGAAAUGGUAUCACGAUUGGUUCUGGUCCAAUUAUUCUAGGUUCGAGUCCUAGUCCGGCAGCCA
rnacentral:tRNA from 1 species